GCCUCUGUAGCAUAGUGGUUAAUGCGCCGUACUUAUAAUGCGGAUAUCGCGAGUUCAAACCUCGCCAGAGGCA